rfam:Triticum aestivum genome assembly, contig: Triticum_aestivum_CS42_TGACv1_scaffold_499865_6BL
UCCAACAGCGGUCGAUUGAAAUUGAGAGAAUAAGCUAAAUAAUUUUGGCUACACUGGGCGGCACGAAGGGUCACGAUCUCGCGAGGGUGAGCUAACUCCAAAAACCCGUCCUCAGUUCAGAUUGUAGGCUGCAACUCACCUGCAUGAAGCAGGAAUCGCUAGUAAUCACCUGUCAGCCAUACGGGGUGAAUCCGUUCCUGGG